rnacentral:rRNA from 1 species
AUGGCUCCCCAAGCUCCGACGUCGGCGGCCUCCCCGACCUCUUGGGAACCUCCUGCCGGUGUCCUCCCUGCUUCAACGACGGCGCCCACUCCGGCCUUUCGGGCGCCUCCUGCCGGCGCCACCAUCGGUACGACGACAGAGGCCGCCCCGGCCUCUCUGACUCCUUCUGACGGCACCACCACUGCUACAACGACGGAGGCCACCUCAGCCUGUUUGCCGCUGCCCUCUGUGAACGGCGCCGCCGCGACUUUCCUUGCCUUCCGCAAGGCCGACCCGGCCGUGCGGGGACGCCUGCAACUGUUGCGGCCCUCCACAACCAAGACGCGGGCCAGCUCCGAUCUGAGCCUGGCGACUCCGACGCCUACCACGCCACCUGUCGCUGCUGCCGAAGACGAUGGUCUUCAUGGAGCUCCCUUUGUUGGCCCCGAUUUAGGUGCAGCCCCCGACGCCGCUGUGCGGACCCCGCAGCCGCCAUUGGCCGUGUCGUGGGCUUCCCUCGCGGACAACGUCUGCAGCAUUGAUGAUGAAGACGAGCUCGCCCCGCUGACGCCGUUGGCUGCCAGGUGCUCCAGUGGGGUGAGCGAUCCGGCUGCCGCUGCUGUUGUCGCUACUGCUCCUGAGGCGUCUUUGGACCAGGGAUGGGUGAAGGUGGGGGGCCGGCGUCGUUCGGCGUUGCCGAUAUUGGCUCUGGCUCCCCGGCCUAUCCCUGCCUGGCUUCGCGGUUGA